CACGUAGUUAGCCGUGGCUUUCUGAUUAGGUACCGUCAAGAUGUGCACAGUUACUUACACAUUUGUUCUUCCCUAAUAACAGAGUUUUACGAGCCGAAACCCUUCAUCACUCACGCGGCGUUGCUCCGUCAGGCUUUCGCCCAUUGCGGAAGAUUCCCUACUGCUGCCUCCCGUAGGAGUCUGGGCCGUGUCUCAGUUCCAGUGUGGCCGAUCACCCUCUCAGGUCGGCUACGUAUCGUCGCCUUGGUAAGCCGUUACCUUACCAACUAGCUAAUACGGCGCGGGUCCAUCUAUAAGUGAUAGCAAAACCAUCUUUCACUUUAGAACCAUGCGGUUCUAAAUGUUAUCCGGUAUUAGCUCCGGUUUCCCGAAGUUAUCCCAGUCUUAUAGGUAGGUUACCCACGUGUUACUCACCCGUCCGCCGCUAACUUCAAAGGAGCAAGCUCCUUAUCUGUUCGCUCGACUUGCAUGUAUUAGGCACGCCGCCAGCGUUCAUCCUGAGCCAGGAUCAAACUCU
rnacentral:rRNA from 1 species